UACGUAGGGGGCGAGCGUCGUCCGGAUUUAUUGGGCGUAAAGAGCGUGUAGGCGGCCAGGUAGGUCUGCUGUGAAAACUCGAGGCUCAACCUCGAGACGUCGGCGGAAACCAUCUGGCUAGAGUCCGGAAGAGGAGAGUGGAAUUCCCGGUGUAGCGGUGAAAUGCGCAGAUAUCAGGAGGAACACCAAUAGCGAAGGCAGCUCGCUGGGACGUUACUGACACUGAGGCGCGAAAGCCAGGGGAGCAAACGGG
rnacentral:rRNA from 1 species